AUCAUAUUGGCAUAGCAUUUCGCUUAGUUAAGACUAAAUCGGUAUAAUAGUCAUUCGACUAUGAUCGACUUUUGCAGUGAAAAGUCAAAAUAUGUUCAGUACCGAGACAAAAUCGGUAUUAUGGCUUUUACAGUGAAAGCCAAAGUAUAAUUGAUAUACCGAUUUUUAUAGUGAAAAAUCAAAAUAUAAUCGAUAAUCGAUGAAUUGAUCAUCCAUCUAUCGAUCCAUUACCACUUUA
rnacentral:lncRNA from 1 species